AUACUGCAGCCGAACGGUAUACAUUCUUCGGAAUCUUGAGAGCGGCGUACGGGUGCGGAACUGCUGUGCAACCUGCCUUUAUCUGGGGGAUAGCCUUUCGAAAGGGAGAUUAAUACCCCAUAAUAUAUUUAUCGGCAUCGAUGGAUAUUGAAAACUCCGGUGGAUAGAGAUGGGCACGCGCAAGAUUAGAUAGUUGGUGAGGUAACGGCUCACCAAGUCUGCGAUCUUUAGGGGGCCUGAGAGGGUGAUCCCCCACACUGGUACUGAGACACGGACCACACUCCUACGGGAGGCACCAGUGAGGAAUAUUGGACAAUGGGUGAGAGCCUGAUCCACCCAUCCCGCGUGAAGGACGACCGCCCUAUGGGUUGUAAACUUCUUUUGUAUAGGGAUAAACCUACUCUCGUGAGAGUAGCUGAAGGUACUAUACGAAUAAGCACCGGCUAACUCCGUGCCAUCAGCCGCGGUAAUACCGAGGGUGCAAGCGUUAUCCGGAUUUAUUGGGUUUAAAGGGUCCGUAGGCGGAUCUGUAAGUCAGUGGUGAAAUCUCACAGCUUAACUGUGAAACUGCCAUUGAUACUGCAGGUCUUGAGUGUUAUUGAAGUAUCUGGAAUAAGUAGUGUAGCGGUGAAAUGCAUAGAUAGUACUUAUAACACCAAUUGCGAAGGCAGGUUACUAAGCAACAACUGACGCUGAUGGACGAAAGCGUGGAGAGCGAACAGGAUUAAUACCCUGGUAGUCCAGGCCGUACACGAUGCUAACUCGUUUUUGGGCUUUCGGGUUCAGAGACUAAGCGAACGUGAUAAGUUAGCCACCUGGGGAGUACGUUCGCAAGACUGAAACUCAGAGGAAUUGACGGAGUCCCGCACAACCGGUGGAAUAUGUGGAUUAAUUCGAUGAUUCGCGAGGAACCUUACCAAGGUUCAAUGGGAAAUGACUGGUUUAGAAUGCACUUUCCUCGGACCUUUUCAAGGUGCUGCAAGGUGUCCUCGCUCCUGCCGUGAGUGCUAGGUAAGUCUGUAAUACCGAACCCGGUACAUUUGCUUAUAGUUGGGGAUCGGGGGAAUGCUACCCAAGCAAGGGAAGGUGGGAUA
rnacentral:rRNA from 1 species